CUCUUCGAUGUUCUGGGCUGCACGCGCGCUACAGUGGUAAAGACAGAGAGCAUGAAUUAAUUAUAGAGUCGCAUCGAGGGAUGUGACGAAUCAGCAAUCGUUGUCGUGAUUGGGAUUGAGCGUUGUAAUAUUUGCUCAUGAAAGAGGAAUUCCUCGUAAGCGCGAGUCACUAACUCGUGUUAAUUACGUCUCUGCCCUUUGUACACACCGCCCGUCGCUACUACCGAUUGAACCGGUUUUUGAAGUGUAGAGAUUGGCAGGCAUGGUUUACGUGCAUUGCAAAGAACCACUCUGAAAAAAUCGUUCGAGAAGAAGUAAAAGUCGUAACA
rnacentral:rRNA from 1 species